CUACCUGAGUCCGGACUCGCAUUUCCCGCUCUUCUCUGAAUCUCCACCGGAGAAAAUGACAGGAUAUUCCAAGUUUGGACCUCCACAUUCGUCUUCUUCAUUCUUGCCAACCCUCGUCCUACCGAGAACAAAGUACAGGCCAAGCAGGAUGUGCUCCCAAAUGCUGCGAGUUGUGAUCCACGGGAAUAGGCUCAAAGGAAGAAGCUCUAAGUGACAACCACCCUGGACCCAGCCACUGUGAACUGGACCAGACUCCCCCAGACCACAUCCACAAGACUGACAUCUGCACAGAGAGGCAGAGAGUUGUACUAAAGUAACCUGCCCUCAUUAACAUUGUAAAUUCCCCUCCUCUGGGUGAGCUGAAGCAGCCAUUUCCAGGUCAUACGAUGUAUGUAGGAGCAUGAUUUCAAACCACGCAUUUGCAAGCUUAUGCCCAUCUCUACAUGCCACGAUGAAACUUGCCCUUUGAAUACUCAUUCCCUACACCAAAUAAAGAUACCC